UAGGGAAUAUUGGACAAUGGGUGAGAGCCUGAUCCAGCCAUGCCGCGUGCAGGAAGAAGGCCUUCUGGGUUGUAAACUGCUUUUGCCGGGGGAUAAAAGGCCCCUGCGGGGGACAUUGAAGGUACCCGGUGAAUAAGCCACGGCUAACUACGUGCCAGCAGCCGCGGUAAUACGUAGGUGGCAAGCGUUGUCCGGAUUUAUUGGGUUUAAAGGGUGCGUAGGCGGCCCCGUAAGUCAGUGGUGAAAUACGGCAGCUCAACUGUCGAGGUGCCAUUGAUACUGCGGGGCUUGAGUAUGGACGAGGUAAGCGGAAUUGACGGUGUAGCGGUGAAAUGCUUAGAUAUCGUCAAGAACACCGAUAGCGAAGGCAGCUUACCAAGCUGUAACUGACACUGAGGCACGAAAGUGUGGGGAUCAAACAGGAUUAGAUACCCCCGUAGUCCCUGAGCGGGCUGGCAAGGCGCAU
rnacentral:rRNA from 1 species